rnacentral:rRNA from 1 species
GCUUACAGGCACACCUCCCUGAGCACGCCCGAUCUCGUCUGAUCUCGAGCUAAGCAGGGUCGGGCCCGGUUAGUACUUGGAUGGGAGACCGGCCUGGGAAUACCAGGUCUGUAAGCC